UUAAGAUAGAAAAAGGCUGAAAACACAAUAAGAACAGAAAAUAAAUUAGAUAAAGAUUCGGCACAAGCAGAAAUAAAGAAAGAAUUGACAAUAAGAAAUUAAAAGAUAAGUCCUAAGAAGCCUUGAAAUCUCGAAAGAUCUCACAACUCCCUUCAAACGGCUCUAAUCUCCCCUCCAAAGAAUAUCAAUGGCAAGAAGAAGGUUGAAGAUGGCUCCCACAAUCACAAGAUUGUUAAAACAACUUCUAAAGAAAACUCAAGAGAGAAAUCUUGGAGAAAACUCAAAGAAAAUUCUGCUCUCAACAAAUCUGAAAUUUUAAUAAUAAUGAUAAGUGUUUAACAAGGUGGACAGCCAUGCCUUUAAAUAGGCAUUAUAACUAGUCCUAAUCUAAUUAGAAAACUAAAAUAAAAAAAACUCCUAAUUAUUUUAAUAUGGAAAUUCGGUCAAAGGUCAUUUUAUCUGGGACUCUUGGACUGAAUAUUGACAUAAAAAUUUAAACUAAGUAAAUAAAUAAAUAAAUAAAUAAAAAUAAAAAUAAAACUUUACAACUUGGGCCACUUUGACAAUUUGGCCUGAUUUUCAACUAAGUAUGGAUAGAUUUCUUGAUUGGGCUGGGAAUUUGCUUAUUGGGCCUCGCCUUCAAGAAUUUGGGCUUUUGUGACUCGUAUCAUUCCCCCCUUCCUCAAAAAGAUUCGUCCUCGAAUCUGAAAAAUCAAAUGAACUCGACUUUCCUCUAUCGAACGGGACUAAUGGCAAUUGAGUCCACUGAAAAGAAUAGCCAUGAGAUAGUAAAUAGCAACGGAAACAAGCUUGUAGUCCAAUCAUAAGCAUAACAGAACAGGUAUAACGCAUGUGAAUGGACAGAUUCAGAUUACCAUGCAAACAAUCUAAUUUACUCACCACUGCCUCGUCAAAUAUUUGAAACAAAGAUGGACAUGUUUUAAGGCAUUCAGUCGUCUCACAUUGUUCCCACAAACCAUGAAUAAAUUGCGAGUAAUAAAUCAAAUGGUAAACAUAAUCGUCACAAGUAGGUAUUUGAAAAGAUUCACAUGGUUCACAGAGUUGCAUAAUCAUACCAUGCAUUAAUCGACGGUCUAUAGAUUCACUCACACAUGCAUUAUCAAAAACAAGAAUCUUUUUAUCAACCAUCAAAAUAGAUAGAUCAUCAAUAAAUAAAAUAGGACAGUCAAGCACGUUUCGAUCUAAGUGUUCAUCAACACGAUCUUUAUCACUAUCCGAGGAGUACAAAAGUGUUUCAAAGGUUUCAAGCAUCUUACCUCGAUAAGCAGAAGAAUAAGGGUUGAUUUUACCUUUUUCAUUUAAAACAAACCUUCGCUCAUCGGGGGCAUAGUGUAGUCGAAUCUUCGUUGUUGAGUUAACGUUUGUCAAAUGGAACUCAAACUUCAUGUACAACCACAUAAACUGUUUAAGGCACGAAUAUAAAUUGAAAACAAAUUUGGAAAAUUUCGUUACCUUAUUCUCCAAAACAGAUUUGGACAAAUUCGAGGAUUUUACACAAGGUAAAUCAAGAGAAUAACAAAUUACGCUUCUUUUCGUAAGGACUUUAUCAACCACAAUCGAAGAGUAACAAUUAAUCGGAUCAAAAUGAGGGGAUCUUUUAAGAACUAAGUCACCAAAAGUUUUAUCAAUAAUUUUCAAAUCUGCACUGGACUCGGUUUCUAAAAUUUCCUUACCUCGCUUACCUUCGGGAUCAUGUAGUGUGAUUUCAUCUUUGCUUAAGUUGAUCGUAUGAAAGCGUCUUUCAUUUGAGAGGUAUUGAAGUUGAAAGUUAUCUUUCGAUCUUUCGGGAACCUGAAAAGUAGCAAUACAAGAAAAAUUCAUAUCUUGGUUAGUGGAAACAUUCCUCACUAGCCUUUCCUCGUCUUUUUCUUUUGUUUCUUUUUCUAACUCAUUUUCUCUUCUUUCUUCAACUUCUUUUUCAAUUUUCUUUUUUGUUUCACAUUCCUUUUCACUCUCAAUCUCUUUUUGCUCUUUUUCAUUCUCUUUUUCUUUUUCCUCACUUGUUUUAACAACAGAAUUUUUCAGUUUGAUUUGGUCCUCAUGGACUUGUUCCGGAGUGAGCGGCACUAAGGUGAUUUUCCUUCCUUGAUACUUGAAAGAAUACCUAUUGGUACGACCAUCGUGAGUGACUUUUCGAUCCAGUUGCCAUGGUUCUCCUAGCAACAAAUGGCAGGCUUGAAUAGGUACUACGUCGCACACGACUUCGUCUUGAUAUUUACCGAUAGAAAAGGCGAUGCGCACUUGUUGAGUGACCUUAAAUUGACUUUCGUUGCUAAGCCCUUGUAGUUGAUAAGGUCGUGGAUGCUUGGUAGUGCUUAAGCAAAGCUUUUCCACCAUCGUCGUGCUGGCUACGUUCGAGCAACUUUCACCAUCAAUAAUAACUCUACAAAGCUUACCUUGUACAUGGCAGCGAGUAUGAAAGAGAUGUUCUCGUUGCUGCUCGCUCUUUGGUUUUGCCAAAGAAGGUUGUCCACGAUCAUGAAAAUCAUCAUCCAUUCUAGGGACACGUUGAGGGUUGCACCUAUGGGGCUGGUUAUCCCUAUCUUCCUUAAUUGGAUCUCGAUAUUGAUGUUUUUGAUUCACUCGCACCUUAUUGAUAGUAGCAGUCAACGCUCGAAGUGCAACAGCCUGUUCGUCCAACUGUUGUUGGAAUUUUUUAAAUAUGUCACUAUUAUUAUCACAUGUAGACAUUUUUUUUUAAAACCUGCAAAACACUCAACACUCAAAAAUAAAAGUUAUCAAACCUCACCGUUAAUCACUCAAAAAGAAAAAAAUCAAAUUCUCAAUGAGGUCGAAUUCAAUCUUGUGAGUUCUUUAUCAGAGUUUAUAUCAACCAAUUAGAGAGUCUGAACCAAACUACCAAAGAAUCCUAAUUUGCACUAGGAUGCCAAAAACUGACGAGACACCAAUUGAUUCGUGUUGCACCGAGGAAGAAGUUGUGCACACGUUUAAAUCCUACUAACACAAGAAACAAGAAGGUGUUAGAUAACGUAAAGGAAGAAUAAAGGUAAACAAAUGAAAACCUACAGCUAAGAAUCAAUAAAAAUUGCUGAAAACAGAAAACCCGAAAACCUGCGGAGUAACUUGACAACUUCGUUCGAGGUGUUCCCGAUCUCAAAAAAUCACAAAAUUAAAUCUGGAAUGUCUUCAAAUAUUUAAUUUUUGAUCUGGAAAAUUUGGGCACCAAAUUCAACCCGCUGAAUAUUUUUUUAAUUUUUUAUUGGAUUUCGUCUUUUUUCAAUUUUUUGACUUUUUCGACUUAUUUUUUUUUGCGGUAAAUAUUUUUGUAUAUUCAAUAACAGUGCCAAAAAUAUGUAUGUAAAAUUUCAGAUCAAUCAGAAAACGUUUACCCACUCAAAUGAAUUUUUUUUCGAAAAUUUUUCUGGGUAAAACUGCUGUUUGUAAUUUAAAAAAUAGAGAUCAGUUUAGAAAUCAACCAAGAACACCCAAAACGCCCAAAAUCUGAUACCAAAUGAUACGGGGUUGUGCGCGGACCAAGAUCGAGUUGCCAAGUCACGAGAAACUCCUACGAAAACCCUAAACAAUUAGAUCUGAAACGAAACAGAAAAUUAAAAGAUUAGAUUUUUAAAUUUUCAGAUCUGAAAUAAAAUCCCCAAAACCAGUAAAGAAUCAAAUAGAGAAUAGAAAUAAGUGUUAAUAAGGAAUCUUGAAACCCUAGAAGAGAUUGCGAUUCUGCCCAAUUGAACACCCAGAUAGUUUUCCCCAAAUUUUGACAAUCUAAUUUCUCCCAAAAAGAGUAUGGAUGAAUCGGCAAGAACCCUAGAAAUUGGGGAUUUUUGGGCUAAUUCCUUAAGAUAGAAAAAGGCUGAAAACACAAUAAGAACAGAAAAUAAAUUAGAUAAAGAUUCGGCACAAGCAGAAAUAAAGAAAGAAUUGACAAUAAGAAAUUAAAAGAUAAGUCCUAAGAAGCCUUGAAAUCUCGAAAGAUCUCACAACUCCCUUCAAACGGCUCUAAUCUCCCCUCCAAAGAAUAUCAAUGGCAAGAAGAAGGUUGAAGAUGGCUCCCACAAUCACAAGAUUGUUAAAACAACUUCUAAAGAAAACUCAAGAGAGAAAUCUUGGAGAAAACUCAAAGAAAAUUUUGCUCUCAACAAAUAUGAAAUUUUAAUAAUAAUGAUAAGUGUUUAACAAGGUGGACAGCCAUGCCUUUAAAUAGGCAUUAUAACUAGUCCUAAUCUAAUUAGAAAACUAAAAUAAAAAAAA
rnacentral:lncRNA from 1 species